ACAAUGGCGUAAACAGAGGGAAGCGAGCCCGCGAGGGGGAGCGAAUCCCAAAAAACAACGUCCCAGUUCGGAUUGUAGUCUGCAACCCGACUACAUGAAGCCGGAAUCGCUAGUAAUCGCGGAUCAGAAUGCCGCGGUGAAUACGUUCCCGGGUCUUGUACACACCGCCCGUCACACCAUGGGAGUCGGAAAUGCCCGAAGCCAGUGACCCAACCUUAGGGAGGGAGCUGUCGAAGGUGGAGCCGGUAACUGGGGUGAAGUCGUAACAAGGUAGC
rnacentral:rRNA from 1 species